GUGGAGCUAUUUGACAUUGAGAAAAACAAGUGAUCUCCUUCAACUUCCGUUUCAAUAGUGCGGAUUAUGGAAUUAUGAUGCAAAAAGAUAUGGAGCCAUCUGAUCCACGAUUCCAUCCCAACAGCAUCAUAUGCCCUGCUUGGAGAUGCUUGAAGAAACAGCCAGUCUUACUUCAGCAAGCCUUGCUCAUCCUGAGGUCUGGAGUGGGCACCUGCAUCAAUGUGUUUCAAGUGUGGACCUUGGAGUUCCCGUUGUGGCUCGUAGUUAACGAACUCAACUAGCAUCCAUGAGGACGUGGGUUCAAUCCCUGGCCUCUGCUCACUGGUUGCCGUGAGGUGUGGUGUAAGUUGCAGAUGUGGCUCAGACCUGGUGUUGCUGUGGCUCUGGUGUAGGCUGGAGGCUACAAGCUGAAGCGCAGUUCUGCAAUCCAUCAAUGUGCCUCAGAGAAGGUAAGGCUACUUUGAUGAACUCAAGCAAGCUUGCUUCGGGGCUCUGAAGCCAAGAGAUCCAUCACCUUUAGCCUUUAAGGUCUUGCCUCUUAGAUGCUCUGUUUUCUUAAUCACUGGCUGUACUGUCCUCAGGAAGGGGUAGUGACUGGGGGUCCUACUGCGUCAGCAGUCCUGGAGGCCUCUCAUUUGUGCUGGCUGGGUUUUUCCUAGCUUUGCUUGGCUCUGGAAUCUUGGGUCUUGAGUCUUGGCUCAAGGAAUUCUAAAUCCUGCCUCUGACCCCUGUCCAAGCUCCCAGGCCAGAUCCUUAUACUGCUGUAUUUGGUGAUCUGGUCCCUGGCCUCAACUUGCAAAGGACUGCCCACAUUCUACAGAUGGGCUUCUGUGCCAACUCUCCCUAUGUCAAGGCCAUCGGAUUCCUUGGGAACAACCAGACCAAUGCCGAUUUAUCCCAGAGACUGUGAUGCAUCUUAGCACCAUUUUCACCACGAAGUAUAUCUUCUUUUAUAUGAUAAUGACCCAAAGAGACCUCAAUCUAAAACCAUAUUCUUCAUAGUAGUCAGUUCCAUAGUAUUUACCACCAAUAGCACUAGUUUUGUCAAUAACACAGUCCAAGUAAACUACAGUCAUGUGUAAAAAAAGAAAAUUUCAACAUUUUAAUGAAUGUUACAAACCCUGGUUGAGUUAACCCAAGGCAGUUAGGUCUCUAACCCAAGGCUGAGUUAGGGGUUUGCUUCUACUUGUUAAUGUCACUUGCAAAUGUCUUUGGCUUUCCAACUAGAUAAGGAGAUUCUUGAAGGCAAUGAUUGAUGCAAUUGCAGAUUCACGUCCUUAAUGUCUGAAGUGCUGCCUAACACACAGUAGGUACCUGGUACACACUGGGUGGCCGAAUUGAUGGGUAGGUGAAUGGGUGGGGGAGUUCUACAGGGCUGGACUGUUUGCUGACCCAGACAGAGAGAAAGGAAACAGUUCCAAAGCUUUGCCCUUCUGACCAAGAGAGUAUUUCCUUUCUUUUCCAAACACUCUUCCUUUAGAGCAUGGCUAAAUCCUACUUAUGUUUUAAGGAAGGUUGAAUAUCCCAGGUUGUGACUCCUAGAGCCAUGGAACUCUGCCCCAUAGAUCCUAAGAGUCCAGGGACUUCUAUAGAACCCCAAAAUGAAAGGCACAAAAGAGGCCAUGAUGGAAACAUCAAAACUAAAUGAAAUACUGGAAACAAGUUAAUGAAAUUCCAUGACAGAAAGGGCUGGUCCAAGGAAGGAGAGAGAGAGAGAGAGAGAAAAGGAAAAAGGAAAAAAACCAACAAACCCAACUCAGGACCAGAAGCAGCUGUCUAGUUUGAACU
rnacentral:lncRNA from 1 species